rnacentral:rRNA from 1 species
UAAGCAUAUAAGUAAGCGGAGGAUAAGAAACUAAACAGGAUUCCCUCAGUAAUGGCGAAUGAACAGGGAUCAGCUCAGGUUGAAAAUCCGGGCCCUCGGCCUUGAAUUGUAGUCUGGAGAGGCAGUGCUAACGAAGGCGCAGGUGUAAGCCUUUUGGAAAAUGCAUCAAUGAGGGUGAGAAUCCCGUAUGUCACUUGUAGCCCUUCGUGAACGGCCUGUCUUCUAAGAGUCGUGUUCCUCGGGAUUGGAGCGCAAAUUGGGUGGUAAAUUUCAUCUAAAGCUAAAUAUAGGUUUGAGACCGAUAGCAAACAAGUACCAUGAGGGAAAGAUGAAAAGGACUUUGGAAAGGGAGUUAAAAGUGCUUGAACUUGCUGAAAGGGAAGCGCAUGGAACCAGUCCGUCUUGGCGAGAUUGUGGCGCAUAAUCGUGAUGGCAUGCCGCCUCAGCGCAAGCGGGGCGGCAGGUCUUAAGCGAGCUUGCGCUGUGCUUCUUGCCUUGCAUGUCAUCGGCAUCCCACUCGUGUGACAAUCCCAGGGACAUGGAAGCAUGGCUGCGGCUGUGUGAAUGUGCUUGGCGAACGCACUGGUGUGCUGCUUGCUGACUAAAUGGUUUCCUGCGACCCGUCUUGAAACC